UACAGAGGCCCCAAGCGUUACUGAGAAUCACUGGGUUUAAAGGGUGCGUAGGUGGCGCGUUAAGUCCGUUGUGAAAUCCCUGGGCUCAACCCAGGAAAUGCUUCGGAUACUGGCGUGCUUGAGGCUAGUAGGGGUCACUGGAACUGACGGUGGAGCGGUGAAAUGCGUAGAUAUCGGGAGGAACACCAGUGGCGAAGGCGAUCACCUGGGGUUGUUCUGACGCUGAGGAGCGAAAGCUAGGGGAGCAAACGGG
rnacentral:rRNA from 1 species